GAGCUAAAUACGUCGUCCCCGGAGCACAGCGUCGCGGGAACCCCGAGGCCUUCCUGCAGCGCUCCAGGCUUGGGAGACCGGCCCGCCAGCUUCCCGCACGGGUUUGUCUGCUUUGCUCACUGGCAUACGGAGGAGGAAGCCACGUCUGGCCCAGGCCUGGCCCAUGGGAGGUGCUUGGUAAAUAUUUGCUAAGUGAAUGAAGGCACGCGGUGCACUUCUGUUUCCAGCCCAGCCGGGCCUCUGGAAACCCAGAAACACAGGCAGAUCUGCAGAGAAGGAAGCCCUCACUUUCUGGGUUUGCGGAGGGUUUGCUGGCUAAGCACCAUUUUUCCCUCCUCAAAUCUCUCCACACCUCCUGCACGCCUCCUGCCUGGAGGGUUUGCAAGCAGCUGAUCGGAAGACGGGCUGGCUUAGGGGAAGGGGGCUUUGGGGUAGGGCCGGAGCGCUGAGGCCCCAGGCUGUCCCUGCAGCUGGUGCUUCUGCAAACGCCUGGAAUCCUGGAGCCAUUCCCACCCGGUCGAGCCGGGCCAGCUGAGCGCUGACUCCCCUUUAAGCUGGGCACGGGGGGCCCUGCCUGCCCCAACCUUCUGUGUCCGUCCUCGUUCUGGAGCCCGGAGGCCAACCUCGUGGGCACGGCAGGGCUGAGAGGGCCCCCCCCAGCCCUCCCUGGGGAGAGGCCCCCCCUCACCGUCACACGACAGAUCACUCAGGCCACUCCGCGAGUCACAAGGCAGAUUUUCCAUUAGCGUCAAACGCCUGUGCAUCCUGACCAGCAGCUGAUGUGAGCGCAAGGGGAAAGCACUUUAGUGAAGCCUCCUCACCCUGUCGUGCCCUCACAACGGCUUCUGUUGUUGGUGGGACACCCUCAUGGUCCCCAGCGUGGUCACGGGAUCUGGCUGGGGUCCCAAGACCUGAGGCCAGCCAACGAGAGAGUGGCGCUCCCCCACCCACAGAAACCAACUCAGUGACAGCCAUGGGACCCAAGUCCACACAAUCCGAACCCUGCCUGGGAUUUUUCUAGAAUGACCCUGAUCCUCCAAGCUGGGAAUUCUGAGGACACCCUAGGCCUCGAGCUCCCAGGCCAUCUUUGCCUUGGGGCAAAGCCAACCUCAGUGAAAUCAAGUUUAGAGUCUGAAUUAAGAUGGUGCCCAGGGUUGUCUUGCCAGCGUCUAGAUGCAGCUGUGCCUGAAGGCAGCUGCCUCCUACACUUUCCAGUUACGUCAACCAGCAAACUCUUCUUUCCUGAAAUGAGCUUGGCUGGGGGUCCUGUCAGUUGCCACCGAAAGGAAUCCUCAGUACCACUGAGCGACGUUAAUUCUCCACGUAUUGAAACGGGGAUCUAUAGAUGGUCAUGGGGAGCAAACCAGUGAGAGGAUACUGGCUCUGAAAUGUGGGGGAGGGGAUCUCAGGUUUAGGCAGAUACAUGUGCAGACUUCCCCCCCCCCCCCCCGCAACCCUGCGUUGCCUCUGAAACUGCCCGUCUAGGCUGGUCCAACUGUUUCCUGAAGGAUUUUUGCAAGCCACUAGAAGGGACCCUAAUCACAGAACUAGGAUCUGGGAUUAAGAUCAGCAUAAAAUAUUUGCAAACCGUGAAUUCCUUCUCCCAAGAAUUCCCACAAACAGGGUGACAACCCUGGGCAUGUUGGUGAGCUCCUCCAGUGCGGGGGGCUGCUUAUCCUCUGGACGUGCACCGCACCUGUCUCCCUUCCCCUGACCACCCCCCUGCGGCCCAGGGUCUGAGAUGGAGCUAGCAUAGGAGGGCAGAUCGUCCCCGUGGGGGCAAAUUCCACAGGGGCCGCUCAGGGCCCUCCCGCCCAGGAGCUGGCGGGGGCCGGAGAUGUCCGCGCCCGGGGGAGCCCAGAACAGGACAGCCGUUUCUGGUGUUCUCCGACCCCCGCUGCAGCCCGCCUCCCCCGGGCCCUCCCAGAGCCGUAGCGCAGGAGGCAGCGUCGACAGACAGGAAAAGGGACCUUCUUCUCUCCAGCUCCUCCACUGACAGCGAUGACACGGGCCAGGCAGGCGACGGACACCGGCUUUGUCCGUCCUCGUUCUGUGGCUCUCCACGGACAGAUGGCCCGUGCAGCUGGGUGACCGUGACUGCCCUCGGCCUGGGGCUGGCUGACCAACGUGUCUGGGGCCGUGGCCGCGGAGGGCAGGUGCGUGAUGGAGCCCGGCUAGUGCCGGGUGGUGGUGACGGGGCCAGUCACUGGACGAGCCGAAGGCGGGGUGUCUGAGGCGGCCUCGGGGCAGACGCAAAGGGACGCACCGAUGGGGAGGACACGGGUGCCUUGGUGGAGAGCCGCGGGAGGUGGUGGAGACAAGGCGAAUCCAGCUUCAAACUGCUGGGUCUGGGGCGAUGGGGCGCCCCGAGAGCACGUCCCACCACACUGGUGGAGAGGGGCCUGAGCUCGGGACAGUCCGGGUGUGCAGGCUGCACCCCCCAGCCCCGUUCUCCGAGCUGCUUCUGCGGUGUUUAUGGAAACGUAGUUUUGCCCGGGAGAUGCCGUGUAAUUGAGAAUCUUUUAAUGUCUGUUUAUGGCCACUGUUCUCACUUGAGCAAUUACGAGCGCGGAGGGAGGUGAUUGUACCCAGGGUGGUCUCCGUGGGCGCAGGGCCCUGGGCGCCUGUUUCUGCCACUUAAUGGGGAGGAGUCCUCUGGGUCCCAAGCAGAAAGUGACCUCAGACAGGAGCCCAUCUCUGUCACGGGCCCAGGCUGCUGGCACUCAGGGCCCCGUUCCGGGGUGUAACC